GGAGCAUGUGGUUUAAUUCGAAGCAACGCGAAGAACCUUACCAGGUCUUGACAUCCCUCUGACCGCUCUAGAGAUAGAGUUUUCCUUUGGGACAGAGGUGACAGGUGGUGCAUGGUUGUCGUCAGCUCGUGUCGUGAGAUGUUGGGUUAAGUCCCGCAACGAGCGCAACCCCUAUUGUUAGUUGCCAUCAUUUAGUUGGGCACUCUAGCGAGACUGCCGGUAAUAAACCGGAGGAAGGUGGGGAUGACGUCAAAUCAUCAUGCCCCUUAUGACCUGGGCUACACACGUGCUACAAUGGCUGGUACAACGAGUCGCGAGUCGGUGACGGCAAGCUAAUCUCUUAAAGCCAGUCUCAGUUCGGAUUGUAGGCUGCAACUCGCCUACAUGAAGUCGGAAUCGCUAGUAAUCGCGGAUCAGCACGCCGCGGUGAAUACGUUCCCGGGCCUUGUACACACCGCCCGUCACACCACGAGAGUUUGUAACACCCGAAGUCGGUGAGGUAACCUUUUAGGAGCCAGCCGCCUAAGGUGGGAUAGAUGAUUGGGGUGAAGUGUAACAAGUAACCAAG
rnacentral:rRNA from 1 species